GCCGUGUGGUUUCAUUUCAUUCGUCACUGAACUCUGGGCAAGCGGAAAAGAAGACCUUACAACGCUUCUGUAACGUGAAAAACCACACGGCCGGUGGAGAGGUUUGAACGUAUCUCGGAGCAUCGCAGCGUCUCGUGUGUCGCUCGCCGGGAGUCGAGUGAGGAGUGAAGUCAACCGCGGCUGGCCGGCCGAUCGUCACUUUGUUGUUGAUAGCGGGCGUUCGGCAUUCUCGGUCGCGGAGCAACUGAGGAAUCUGUUUAUCACGCGUAGCGGGGGCUCGGAGAUCGAUUCGAUCGGAAUGUGACACGUCGCUCGGACAAACGGAGAGUUUAUUUACUUCCGACAGCAGCCUCGUUCGGCAGACGACUUCGGACCGAGCACGGCGUCGAAUCUUCUCGAAGGUGAGAGAAUGCUCGCUUCUUCCUGUCUCCCGUCAUUCGGAACUGCGGAGGGUGAAUUACGUCAACAAAGAUGCGAAGCUGGUCGAGCUGCUGCCGCGGCCAACUCCACUCGAAACCGGACGUCGAACGAGGAAGACGACGUUGAGAGGUAAACGUGUGGAGCAAAGUGUCGCCCGCUUCAGGAAGAGAAUCGGCGGUCCACGUCCUGCGAUUCGGAGCUUCUUCACAUCGUAGAAUCGAGACUCUGGAUACAAGGCUGCGACUCGGAGCUUCUUCACAUCGUAGAAUCGAGACUCUGGAUACAAGGCUGCGAUGCGUCGAUUCCAAUACUGAGAAUUUUCACCGAGGAGGCGAUAGGAUACUCGGAGGACUUUUUGGUGCUCGAGAACACCGCCUGGAAAUCUGGGAUUCUCUGCUCGGCAGGUCAACUCUUUUGCAUCAUCCUCACGGCCGACAACCAGGGCCAACUUGCUCACGGUUGAAUUGCUUCGCUGAGUAGAGACGAUUGAAGGAUCUCGGAUUAGGUUUCCAUCCAGCAUCCAUACUAUCCUUGCGGCCGGUGAACUCCCCCAAGUUUCGCACCUCGCUCCCACCGGACGUCCUGCGUAGAUCACUUCCGUAUCAAGGACGAUCUUCACCACUGCGGGCUUUACUGAAAUGGAAUACGGAUUUAGAUUAUUCUUUUGAUCACAAGGUCAAUGGCAAUCUACCCCAAGACACUGAUCGAAGAUAAAUAUGGAAGAUGAUCAACGUAACCGUUGAAGAUUGGAUGCAUCGUUUUUCAUCGCAACCGAUCAGAGACGUCGAGCCUCGACUACGCUUAGUAGACACGCAAAAUUAAUUCGGCGUGUAGUUGGUGAAGGCUAUAAUAGUUGGAAAAUUCAAGGAAAUUCAGACUCCCAAAAAGCAUACGAAUCCUGUAAAGAGAAGGCUGAAGUGGAGGAUGAAAAACAGCGAAAAUCAGGGGUAAGAGACAAACCGCGAUUAAAGAACCGUCAAGGAAUGUCGCUGUCACGGGGUUGUCGGUCGCGCUGGCAGCGACUGCCGCUACACUAAAACUAAAACUGAAGACAUGUGUGCAGUCCCCACUCGUAAGAGUCCCUCGUGCAUCCAACACAAACCUCCUGACACGCACCCAUUUCCUCACGCACGUGCCACGACCACCAAUACUCAAAAUUAUAAUACAGAAAUACACGCGUGUCCGGCCUGCAGGCCUCUCUGCCUUCCUCAAUGCGUCAUCCCGCCGAUACGUCGAGGGGCACCGAAAUCUCGGAAGACCUGCAUCCAGAGUCAAAUUUGACCGUAUGGUAAUCUGCCAACUGCUCGAGGGAACCGAGUUAUAGAGACGGUGAAUUCGUGUUUAAUACUCACACGGUUGCCGGUCUUGGACUGCAGCUAUUUCCAGAGCCAAGCUGUGUGUGGAGGCCAGAAAUUUGGAUCCUGGAAGCAGAAGAACGGUUGAAGAAGCCAAAUUUUCGGGAUCACCGCCAUUCCGUAACUGUUACAGCUCAACUCACCGUCAAGAGGAUCUACCCAAAUACACAAAUCCUUGUCUUCCACUUCUUCGAGAUCCUGAGGAAGCCUUACGCCAAGAACCUGCUGAUCAGAGUCAGUUACCACCCAAUCGGAAGGGACUUCGCAGUUUGACGGUCCCUCUUCUCCGAUUAUAGCGACGUUGGGAAACUGCCUGCUGAGAGAAGCGACGAUACACCUUUGCGCCGAUCUGUCAGCUUCGGUUUGGGGAUCGUUCUUUCCCUUGUUCACUAUGUUCAGUUCGCCUCCGGUCAUCACGUCCCUGAUUAUCUUUCCGGCACGUCCAGCUACUGUCACUGAGGAUGCGACCACGCGCAAAAGAAGUGGAGCACUCUGCGCCAUAGCGAUGAAAUCGGAUGCCGGCUUGUCUGAUUG
rnacentral:lncRNA from 1 species